rnacentral:rRNA from 1 species
GACGAACGCUGGCGGCGUGCUUAACACAUGCAAGUCGAACGAAGUGGCGCACGGGUGAGUAACGCGUAAUCAACCUGCCCUUCAGAGGGGGACAACAGUUGGAAACGACUGCUAAUCCCCAAUACUGAAGGAGGGGUUUGCGUCUGAUUAGCUAGUUGGCGGGGGAACGGCCCACCAAGGCGAUGAUCAGUAGCGGGUCUGAGAGGAUGAUCCGCCACACUGGGACUGAGACACGGCCCAGACGCCUACGUGAGGCAGCAGGGGGGAAUUUUGGACAAUGGGCGCAAGCCUGAUCCAGCCAUGCCGCGUGUCUGAAGAAGGCCUUCGGGUUGUAAAGGACUUUUGUCAGGGAAGCGGUACCUGAAGAAUAAGCACCGGCUAACUACGUGCCAGCAGCCGCGGUAAUAC